rnacentral:rRNA from 1 species
UGGGGAAUAUUGGACAAUGGGGGGAACCCUGAUCCAGCCAUGCCGCGUGUGUGAAGAAGGCCUUAUGGUUGUAAAGCACUUUAAGCGAGGAGGAGGGUACUGGUAUUAAUACUACCAGCUACUGGACGUUACUCGCAGAAUAAGCACCGGCUAACUCUGUGCCAGCAGCCGCGGUAAUACAGAGGGUGCGAGCGUUAAUCGGAUUUACUGGGCGUAAAGCGUGCGUAGGCGGCUAAUUGGGUCGGAUGUGAAAUCCCCGAGCUUAACUUGGGAAUUGCAUUCGAUACUGGUUAGCUAGAGUGUGGGAGAGGAUGGUAGAAUUCCAGGUGUAGCGGUGAAAUGCGUAGAGAUCUGGAGGAAUACCGAUGGCGAAGGCAGCCAUCUGGCCUAACACUGACGCUGAGGUACGAAAGCAUGGGGAGCAAACAGG